AGCGGCCGGUCUAAGUUUCUUGGAACAGGACGUCAUAGAGGGUGAGAAUCCCGUAUGUGACCGGUUGGCACCUUAUACGUAGCUCCUUCGACGAGUCGAGUUGUUUGGGAAUGCAGCUCUAAAUGGGAGGUAAAUUUCUUCUAAAGCUAAAUACCGGCCAGAGACCGAUAGCGCACAAGUAGAGUGAUCGAAAGAUGAAAAGUACUUUGGAAAGAGAGUUAAAAAGCACGUGAAAUUGUUAAAAGGGAAGCGCUUGCAACCAGACUUGUCGGCGGUGUUCCGCCGGUCUUCUGACCGGUCUAUUCGCCGCCUACAGGCCAGCGUCGUCUGGUGCCGCCGGAUAAAGGCUUUGGGAAUGUAGCUCCUCGGAGUGUUAUAGCUCAUUGCACAAUACGGCGCGCGCCGGGCGAGGUCCGCGCUUCGGCAAGGACGCUGGCGUAAUGGUCGUAAGCGGCCCGUCUUGAAACACGGACCAAGGAGUCGAUCAAUUGUGCGAGUGUUCGGGUGAAAAACCCUUGCGCGUAAUGAAAGUGAACGGAGGCGAGAACCGUAAGGUGCAUCGUCGACCGAUCCUGAUGUCUUCGGAUGGAUUUGAGUAAGAGCAUAGCUGAUCGGACCCGAAAGAUGGUGAACUAUGCCUAAAUAGAAUGAAACCAGGGGAAACCCUGGCG
rnacentral:rRNA from 1 species